rnacentral:rRNA from 1 species
GACGAACGCUGGCGGCGUGCUUAACACAUGCAAGUCGAACGAUGAUCCGGGUGCUUGCACCUGGGGAUUAGUGGCGAACGGGUGAGUAACACGUGAGUAACCUGCCCUGGACUCUGGGAUAACCCCGAGAAAUCGGAGCUAAUACCGGAUAGGACCUUUCCUCGCAUGAGGUUGGGUGGAAAGUUUUUUCGGUUUGGGAUGGACCCGCGGCCUAUCAGCUUGUUGGUGAGGUAAUGGCUCACCAAGGCGUCGACGGGUAGCCGGCCUGAGAGGGUGACCGGCCACACUGGGACUGCGACACGGCCCAGACUCCUACGGGAGGCAGCAGUGGGGAAUAUUGCACAAUGGGCGCAAGCCUGAUGCAGCAACGCCGCGUGCGGGAUGACGGCCUUCGGGUUGUAAACCUCUUUCGACAUCGACGAAGGGGCCCUGUUGUGGGGUUUUGACGGUAGGUGUAGAAGAAGCACCGGCUAACUACGUGCCAGCAGCCGCAGUAACAC